UUGUGCUAGCAUUUUUCUGUUUCUGUUUCACUGUGCUGAAAGAGUUCAUUGUUGUUUCAAUGUCAGGCAAACUUUUUAUAUGGCACUUUCAAAGAGUUCUAAAGAGGUUUACAAAAAGCUACUUAUCUUCAAACCCUGCAAGGUUGUUUCUAAAAAAUUAUCAUCUGAGAAUUAAUUUGCAUAAUAUGAUGUGAGAGUUGAAUUUAAAAGACUGAAAUUAAUAGUAUUGUGAUACUUUGACAGCAGCUGAUGUCAGGUGCAUAUUUUCUCCGAUAGAAAGUAUCAACAUUCAUUUUUACUAAUUCUAAGGUACAGUUGAUGUUAACUUUAUCAAAGAUACAUAUCGCAAUAUCUUAAUUCAACUAUUUCAAUGUGUUGAUGUUUGUGGUGUGUCUAAUAUACAGAACCAUUAUUCCAAUUUACAUAAUAACUUCAAAUCUGAAAUAGAACAUCUAAUAAUAUGUCAAAUCCAUUAAGCUUACAAGCUCAAGGCUCUGGAUGACACCUUAUUAUUGAUUUGAAUCUCUAGUAGUCUCUAACAUCAAUAAGUUGAAUUAUCAUUCAUGUACAAACCGUAAGGAUAUGCUGACAAAAUGUCCAUACUUUCUAUGUUUUGAACUUCGUAAGAUAAUAUUAUUGAGAGACAGUGGAUUCAGAUUCCACAAAGUAACUGUGUGAUGUAUUUAUUUAUCUUGGAUGUCAGAUCUGUGAGGUGUUUUUCAUACUGCAACACAGUUGCAAACUAUGUGAAGAUUUGCGGUUGAAAAUUCUUGUAAUAUUUGAAAAUGCGUGAGUCUUAAAUAUUUUUCACUACAACAUAAAAAAUUACAAGAUAUUUCAAAGUACUAAAUUGAAAAUGGGGAACAUGGUUGUCAUCUUGCAUCACUACAGAAUUGAAGAGUGAGCAGUGACUGGCUAGCGAUGUUAUGGCGUCUACAGCAAGUGGCUGCGGCAUCUGUGGCGAAUGGUUAACAGCAUUACGGCGUCUUUGUCAAAAGGUUGAGUCUGAGAAGAAACGAAGCUUGCUGAUGGGGCCGCGUCAGUCUGCACAAAUCGGAGAGUUACAUACUCAAGCUUGCAAGAUGGAAAUCAUAGUUUUGAAGUUAGCACCAAUGGAAAUCGGAGCUUUGUGGGCAGUGCUAGCUACAACUAGAUUGUUAGUUAAGAAACCAUACUUUAUUCCUUAUGCUUUUAUUUAUCAUUUUAUUAUUACCAAUGGAAUUUGGCCUUUUAAAUCGUGUCGCGUGUCUUUGGAAUGAUAAAAGUCAUUUUUACUUUUUUCAAACACAAUUCCACCAACAACAAAUGUUACAACCUCAAUAACUUUCACAAGUUCUUCGAAUGUUUCCGUAAAUAUAUCUUUCACCAAACCUUGUAUAAGCGAAGGUUUUGGAUGCAAGUCUGUGAAUGCCUGCAAUCUUCUUAUCUAUGGUGCUGGUCAGGUUGUACCAUCUUCCUUUAGAAUUCUGAAGCCAAACCUCAUGUAUUCUCUUCUUGUUAGUUUAUCUCCUAUUCGAUACAGUCGACCAAUCCUGGUAAUGGAUAGGAGUUUCUGUACUGACAUAGCUGGUAACAGCUUUACAAGAAUGGCGAAUUUGAGUGUUCAUGUACAUAUUGAAGAAAGGUUUAUGUCAACAUCAGGACUCAAGCUACUCCAAAUUAAUAGCGAAACUAGGAUAAUUCAAGCAACUAAUGACUAUAACAAGCUAAAGGUGUAUUUGUACUUCUCAUCUUUAAUUGUAAAUUCAUCUAUGGAAGUUAUGAAUUAUCUCAACAAUAGUCACUGUUCACUUGUUCCAACUAGUGAAAAAUCUCUAAAAUCGUAGAUUCGGAUUCAUGGUUAGUUAAUUCUUGGAUGUGAUAUGUUAUGCUUAUCAACUGUAUCUCUUCUCCUUACACGUUUUUUCCGGCUAAUUGUUAAUGCAGAUUGCUAAUAUCUCCUCGACUGCUAUAGUCUCGGUGGGAUUCAAUUUGAAGUCUAUAAUAACCAGACAAUAGACUCAAAUUUCUCCAACUGCGCCAAUUAAUUUUCUCUAUGGUACAUAUUAAUGAUGUUACUUACAUAUUAAUUCUAUUUAAUCUCGUGUUCGUUAAUUACACUUCUCUUUCAAACUUCCAAGAUGCUUGACUAUUGUGUUGUGUUGGAUAUGUUAGAUAUAAUUAGCUUUGUCGAUUAUGGAUUAUGGGUAUUUGGUAUCUUUUUGUGAUGGUACUUGAUAAACUUUUUGCGUGGAGAUGCAUUGAAUUAGUUUAAUGGGCUAACCGACUCGAAUGGUAACUCGACCCAAUAGUUUGGACCUAAAAAGAUUAUGGAGAACAAUAUGAAUUAGACUCAUCUACAUUUUGUGUGUAUUCUUCUUCAUUCUUCUAUGAUUUUGUUGAAAGACAGGACAUUUUGCGUGCAUUCUUCUUCAUUCUGCUAUGAUUAUGGACGAACACUGUCCCGAGAGAAGAAGGUUUUAUCAGUUAAUAAAGCCUUAAAAGAACUCAUGAAAGCUGCUCAACUAGCCGCACACUUCUUCCUAAGAAGAGAUCCAAAAAAUGACAAGGUCUUCAAUUAUUAGUAAUUGUAAAUAAAAACAAAUUUUUUUGUUUAUA